UACGUAGGGGGCAAGCGUUGUCAGAAGUUACUGGGCGUAAAGCGCGCGUAGGCGGUUUCUUAAGUCUGAUGUGAAAGGUUCAGGGCUCAACCCGAACACUGCCUUGGAUACUGGGAAACUUGAGUAUGGGAGAGGGAAGCGGAAUUCCAGGUGUAGCGGUGAAAUGCGUAGAUAUCUGGAGGAACACCGAUGGCGAAGGCAGCUUCCUGGCCUGUAACUGACGCUGAGGCGCGAAAGCGUGGGGAGCGAACGGG
rnacentral:rRNA from 1 species